rnacentral:rRNA from 1 species
GAUGAACGCUGGCGGCGUGCCUAAUACAUGCAAGUCGAGCGAACAGACGAGGAGCUUGCUCCUCUGACGUUAACGGCGAACGGGUGAGUAACACGUGGAUAACCUACCUAUAAGACUGGGAUAACUUCGGGAAACCGGAGCUAAUACCGGAUAAUUUAUUGAACCGCAUGGUUCAAGAGUGAAAGACGGUUUUGCUGUCCCUUAUAGAUGGAUCCGCGCCGCGUUAGCUAGUUGGUAAGGUAACGGCUUACCAAGGCGACGAUGCGUAGCCGACCUGAGAGGGUGAUCGGCCACACUGGAACUGAGACACGGUCCAGACUCCUACGGGAGGCAGCAGUAGGGAAUCUUCCGCAAUGGGCGAAAGCUUGACGGAGCAACGCCGCGUGAGUGAUGAAGGUCUUCGGAUCGUAAAACUCUGUUAUUAGGGAAGAACAAAUGUGUAAGUAACUAUGCACGUCUUGACGGUACCUAAUCAGAAAGCCACGGCUAACUACGUG